UAACAGGAAAGGCACAGUAAACAUCGUGUCCUCACCAUACUUAGACAGGGUGUGUCUGACACAACAAAAGAUAAUAAGAGACAGAACAGAUCACGGUAUGAACUACAGUCAACAGUCACUUUAUUAGGUAUAUCUUGCUAGUAACACCCCCUUUUGGCUUAAAAACUGCCUGAAUCCUUUCUGGCAUAGACUCAAUAAGGUGUUAGAGAUAUAUUGCACCACACUGACAUGAUAUCAUCACAUAAUUACUGCAGAUUUGUUGGCUGCACAUCUGAGAUUCGAAUCUCCUAUCCCAAAGGUGCUCUACUGCAUUGACAUCUGGUGACUAUGGAGUUUACCUGAGUACAGGGAUCUUGUCUCCCUCUGUUAAGUGGAUAUCAGCAGAUGCACCACUAAGUUUGGAAAUGGCACUCUUCAGUCCAGGUCCCUGUCAAUGGUCUCCAGCACAGGAUCAAUGAUGACAGCCUCCUUGGUGUCUGCGUCUGCCAGCAGGUAGGUAUAUGUGGAGCUCUCAGACUCAAACAGCUAAAUGUUG